GCCCCUAACCGCUCACUGUCAUAUAUUCAAAAGACGCUUAAACAGGGAAAUAGUGGAAACACUCAAUACAAGCUAGAUGAUGACUCCUUUGUCAAGCAGAAUAACCAUUUUAUUGUACACGUGUAUCUUGACUGUUGGUUCGAAUUCAAAACAGUCUGUACCUUGUGCCGAAAACUGCAAAGUCAGCGAGAUUCCUCGAAGACCCAUUUCAUUUCGAAUUUGUGGAGAUCAAAUCAUGACAGCCUUUAAACAGAUCUGCAGAAUACACGCAAGAGAACUGAGAGAUGGAAAUGAAAUAUUCUGGGAAAAAAGAAGAGCUUCAGAGUUCCUAACGUCAUCUGGGAGAUUCCGUAGGUCCUACACUGUUGUGGAGGAGUGCUGUAAAGAAGGCUGUGUUAUUGAAGAAAUGCGCGAAUAUUGCUACUGACGUACGAAACUAACAUUGAGUGUCUUUCAUUGCUAGUCAACUACUCCGUGGACAUAAAACGUGUAUGAAAAAAGGUUGUGAUCUUCCAAUUUUUUUUGUGAAAGCUGGAAAACCAAAUGCUCAUUGACGUAUAUCAUUUAUCUUGAAUUUCUAGUAAAUAAAAUCAUCUUAUAACAUUAAAAAGUUUUUGUCUUAGGGUGAAGACGUAUUACUGGUAGGUCAAGGUUGUGUGCGAGAAUUAUUUUGCUGAUGACGUACAAAGUAAACACUACUCGACGCUCUUUCUCCGUCACGCAGUCCAUAAGCUUUAAAGGUAAUCCAGUAAGUUUAUUGCUAAACUUGAUUUGCCAAAACAUAGAAAUGUUUCCCUUCAGUAAAAGGCUAAGUAUUUAUCAUUUCGCCAUCACUUCGCCAUCAUUUCUACUCGCUGUCCUGCAUUUAGUUCACAGAGAAGGAAAUACUUCAAAUAUUACUCAUCGGCUGUCCACAACAAAUCAGAAAAUAUUAUGUCUGAGGUU